UACGUAGGGUGCAAGCGUUGUCCGGAAUUAUUGGGCGUAAAGAGCUCGUAGGCGGUCUGUCGCGUCUGCUGUGAAAACUCAGGGCUUAACCCUGAGCUUGCAGUGGGUACGGGCAGACUAGAGUGCGGUAGGGGAGACUGGAAUUCCUGGUGUAGCGGUGAAAUGCGCAGAUAUCAGGAGGAACACCGAUGGCGAAGGCAGAUCUCUGGGCCGUAACUGACGCUGGAGGAGCGAAAGCGUGGGGAGGCGAACAGG
rnacentral:rRNA from 1 species